rnacentral:lncRNA from 1 species
ACCAAUCAGAUUCCUAGAUUUUUCUCAAAGGGGUAAUAAAUAAAGUAAUGGCGAUAGGACAAAAACAAAAUGGAAACACAAAAUGGUAUAUUACAAAUGACAUUGUAUAGAUCUAUCAUAAGAAUAUGUUAUUGAUCAAUAUUCAGUAAAAAGUACAUCAACUAAAUGUGACCGAGAGGUUAAAUUCAGUGUUCUGAUGGUUACUAUACACCAUAAGGCUAUCUAAAGUGGAAAUAUGCUGCAGUACAAAGUAGGCUAUAACAGACCCUACGGUUGUGCUAGUUUCAAUGCUAUUUUCAAAAUGAAUAUACAACUUCUAAUGGUGUAUCAUUACCCAAUGGUGUUUUGUCGACCAAUGGUGUACCAUCAACCAAUAGUGUACCAUCAACCAAUAGUGUACCAUCAAUCAAUGGUGUACCAUCAAACAAUGGUGUACCUAGUGUACCAUCAACCAAUGGUGUACCAUCAACCAAUGUUGUAUCAUCAACCAAUGGUGUACCAUCAACAAAUGGUGUAACAUCAACCAAUAGUGUACCAUAUAUGUAUGUACAUACAGUAGGUAGGUAUAAAUGAUCCGCAGAUGUACAUACAGUAGGUAGGUAUAAAUGAUCCGUAGAUGUACAUACAGUAGAUAGGUAUAAAUGAUCCGUAGAUGUUCAUAUAGUAGGUAGGUAUAAAUGAUCCGUAGAUGUACAUACAGUAGGUAGGUAUAAAUGAUCCAUAGAUGUACAUCCAGUAGGUAGGUAUAAAUGGUCCGUAGAUGUACAUAUAGUAGGUAGGUAUAAAUGAUCCGUAGAUGUAUGUAAAUACAGUAGGUAGGUAUAAAUGAUCCAUAGAUGUACAUCCAGUAGGUAGGUAUAAAUGGUCCGUAGAUGUACAUAUAGUAGGUAGGUAUAAAUGAUCCGUAGAUGUAUGUAAAUACAGUAGGUAGGUAUAAAUGAUCCAUAGAUGUACAUACAGUGGGUAGGUAUAAAUGAUCCGCAGAUGUACAUACAGUAGGUAGGUAUAAAUGAUCUGUAGAUGUACAUACAGUAGGUAGGUAUAAAUGAUCGGUAGAUGUACAUACAGUAGGUAGGUAUAAAUGAUCGGUAGAUGUACAUACAGUAGGUAGGUAUAAA